AAGAUCCCUGUAAUGGAAUCGGGGUUUUCCGUGCCAUGUCGGCAUUCUACGUAACUUAUCGGCACAUCCGUUACCUCUCGCCCGUUUCCGUAAACAGAUUUACGUUUUAUUUAUAAAUGAAUAAAUUAUCCAUAUAAUUAUAUCCAGUACAAAAAGAAUUUAGUUUUUGAUAAAAUGAAAAUGAAAUUAUCAAAAAGAAUAUGUUGUUUGUAAACGGAUAAUUCGUAAAAAACCCCGUUGCUGUGAAACCAGGUUGGGAAACCCCUAUAUGACGUCACGAUUUCAGAAAAUAGACCGCAGAAGUGAAAAUGAAAGUAAGAGACAGAAAAGGCCAUUACAAGGCCAAAAACAAACGCAAGUUGAGAAAAGAACCUAAUAUUCUUGUGGAUCAUAAUAACCCUCACGUAUUGAGCAUUUGUAAGUGCAAAAUUGGUAAUUGUCCAAUUUAUGAACACCGACAGAAGGGAUCGGCAGGUGGGUGGAGAAAAGCUAGACGGGUGAUUGAGUUCGACGUUUUAGUUAGAAAUUUAGCUCACUGCAAGGAAUGUCAUCUUGGAACUUUAUUCUCACAAGCGACAACAUUGUGGGGGAGCUGCAAAAUGGCUUGGUGGCUAUCUGUAUGUUAUGUGUUCGAAUUAAGCAGUGUUAAGAGUGAGGAGCUGUAAAUUUUGUUUCAUAUGGAACAACACACCACAACAAAACGAAGGCCGGGGAUGUCCUGCUUUGAAAUAAACACAAAGCUUGGAUUCGCAAUGAUUGACAGCAUUGGUGGGGCUGUCAAAGUUAACAAUUUCCUUGCCACUCUUGAUCUUAAGCUGAUAAGCCUAGAAAAUCUUAAGGAAAUUGAGAGAGGGCUGGUGAAGUGAUAGAAGCUGUCUGAGCAAAAUCACAGAGACGGUCAGCUGAAGAGGCUUACAAAUAAAGAAAUGGAGUAUUGGUCAUACAGCAGACUCAGAUAUACAGACCUUACCAGAUGCAGUUCUAAGGGAAAGUUCAAGCCAGUAAAGAUAGAAAAUCCUACAUUUAUAACAUUUGAUUUGGAAACUACAGAUCUAAUUUGAGGUUCACAGAUGCCACAUAUAACACAGAUUGCAGCUAAAGAAAUAAAGACUGCUGCUUCAUUUUAUCAGUAUGUAAUUCCUCCAAUGCCAAUAGCAGUAGAACCUCAACGAAUAACUGGCAUAAAAGUCACAGAUGAUGGUUAUAUGACUGUACAUAGUGAACAUGUUAAUAACUUAAAUGUACAUGAAUCUUUAGAUAAUAAAAUAAAUAAAUACAA